CCUACGGGGGGCUGCAGUGGGGAAUAUUGGACAAUGGGCGAAAGCCUGAUCCAGCCAUGCCGCGUGUGUGAAGAAGGCCUUCGGGUUGUAAAGCACUUUCAGUGGGGAAGAAAGCCUUGGGGCUAAUACCCUCGAGGAAGGACAUCACCCACAGAAGAAGCACCGGCUAACUCCGUGCCAGCAGCCGCGGUAAUACGGAGGGUGCGAGCGUUAAUCGGAAUUACUGGGCGUAAAGCGCGCGUAGGCGGUCUGAUAAGCCGGUUGUGAAAGCCCCGGGCUCAACCUGGGAACGGCAUCCGGAACUGUCAGGCUAGAGUGCAGGAGAGGAAGGUUGAAUUCCCGGUGUAGCGGUGAAAUGCGUAGAGAUCGGGAGGAAUACCAGUGGCGAAGGCGGCCUUCUGGACUGACACUGACGCUGAGGUGCGAAAGCGUGGGUAGCAAACAGGAUUAGAUACCCCGGUAGUC
rnacentral:rRNA from 1 species